AGCCUUGUGGCUCAUUUGGUUAAAGCGUUGACUGUACUAAAGCGUUUCCCUUGUUGGCGUGGGUUCGAAUCUCACCAAGGCCG
rnacentral:tRNA from 1 species